rnacentral:rRNA from 1 species
AUCUAUACUGUGAAACUGCGAAUGGCUCAUUAAAUCAGUUAUCGUUUAUUUGAUAGUACCUUACUACUUGGAUAACCGUGGUAAUUCUAGAGCUAAUACAUGCUAAAAACCCCGACUUCGGGAGGGGUGUAUUUAUUAGAUAAAAAACCAAUGCCCUUCGGGGCUCCUUGGUGAAUCAUGAUAACUUAACGAAUCGCAUGGCCUUGCGCCGGCGAUGGUUCAUUCAAAUUUCUGCCCUAUCAACUUUCGAUGGUAGGAUAGUGGCCUACCAUGGUAUCAACGGGUAACGGGGAAUUAGGGUUCUAUUCCGGAGAGGGAGCCUGAGAAACGGCUACCACAUCCAAGGAAGGCAGCAGGCGCGCAAAUUACCCAAUCCCGACACGGGGAGGUAGUGACAAUAAAUACUGAUACAGGGCUCUUUUGGGUCUUGUAAUUGGAAUGAGUACAAUUUAAAUACCUUAACGAGGAACAAUUGGAGGGCAAGUCUGGUGCCAGCAGCCGCGGUAAUUCCAGCUCCAAUAGCGUAUAUUAAAGUUGUUGCAGUUAAAAAGCUCGUAGUUGAACCUUGGGCCUGGCUGGCCGGUCUGCCUCACCGCAUGUACUGGUUCGGCCGGGCCUUUCCUCCUGGGGAUCCGCAUGCCCUUCACUGGGUGUGUUGGGGAACCAGGACUUUUACUUUGAAAAAAUUAGAGUGUUCAAAGCAGGCCUUUGCUCGAAUACAUUAGCAUGGAAUAAUAGAAUAGGACGUGCGGUCCUAUUUUGUUGGUUUCUAGGACCGCCGUAAUGAUUAAUAGGGAUAGUCGGGGGCAUCAGUAUUCAGUUGUCAGAGGUGAAAUUCUUGGAUUUACUGAAGACUAACUACUGCGAAAGCAUUUGCCAAGGAUGUUUUCAUUAAUCAGUGAACGAAAGUUAGGGGAUCGAAGACGAUCAGAUACCGUCGUAGUCUUAACCGUAAACUAUGCCGACUAGGGAUCGGGCGAUGUUAUUCUUUUGACUCGCUCGGCACCUUACGAGAAAUCAAAGUCU